rnacentral:rRNA from 1 species
AGGACGAACGCUGGCGGCGUGCUUAACACAUGCAAGUCGAGCGGAAAGGCCUUUCGGGGUACUCGAGCGGCGAACGGGUGAGUAACACGUGAGUAAUCUGCCCAUCGCUUCAGGAUAGCCAUCGGAAACGGUGAUUAAUACUGGAUAUGACAUUCCUUCGCAUGUUGGGGUGUGGAAAGUUUUUUCGGCGGUGGAUGUGCUCGCGGCCUAUCAGUCUUGUUGGUGGGGUAAUGGCCUACCGAAGGCUUUGACGGGUA